GACGAAUGCUGGCGGCGUGCCUAAUACAUGCAAGUAGAACGCACAGUUUAUACCGUAGCUUGCUACACCAUAGACUGUGAGUUGCGAACGGGUGAGUAACGCGUAGGUAACCUGCCUGGUAGCGGGGGAUAACUAUUGGAAACGAUAGCUAAUACCGCAUAAUAUUAAUUAUUGUAUGAUAAUUAAUUGAAAGGUGCAAUUGCACCACUACCAGAUGGACCUGCGUUGUAUUAGCUAGUAGGUGAGGUAACGGCUCACCUAGGCGACGAUACAUAGCCGACCUGAGAGGGUGAUCGGCCACACUGGGACUGAGACACGGCCCAGACUCCUACGGGAGGCAGCAGUAGGGAAUCUUCGGCAAUGGACGAAAGUCUGACCGAGCAACGCCGCGUGAGUGAAGAAGGUUUUCGGAUCGUAAAGCUCGGUUGUAAGAGAAGAACGGGUGUGAGAGUGGAAAGUUCACACUGUGACGGUAUCUUAACAGAAAGGGACGGCUAACUACGUG
rnacentral:rRNA from 1 species